GGUGAUAAGAGUGUCUUGAUUGAUCAAACGUCCAUCAAGACCGUCUUCUUGCUUCCAUGAGAUCAUAAGUAGACUUCCAACAGCUUCUUUGAGUCUUCUAGCUUUGGCGCGAGUGAUGGGACCUGGUGGAAUGACUAAGGCAUCAUCUUCUUCCCUUGAUUGGUCUUUGAACUCUUUAUCUCCAUCCUUGUGCCGGUCCAUGAUCAUA
rnacentral:lncRNA from 1 species